rnacentral:rRNA from 1 species
AAUGAACGCUGGCGGCAUGCCUAACACAUGCAAGUCGAACGAGACCACCGGGACUUUUGGCGCAUGGGGGUGUCACGCGUCGGAACCUUCCCUUAUGUAUGGCAUACCUCUCCGACUGGGGUGCUAACGCCGGAUAAUGUCUUCUAACCAAUGAUUUAUCGCCUUAGGAUGUGCACGCGUUGGAUUAGCUUGUUGGGAGGGUGAAAGCCUACCAAGGCGACGAUGCAUAGCUGGGUAGAGAGAAUGCGCAGCCACACUGAGAGUGGGACACGGCCGGGAAUCCUACGGGAGGCAGGAAAGGGGAAUAUAGGACAAUGGGGGGAGGCAUGAAGGAGCAAUGCCGGGAGAGCGAUGAAGGCCGUAGAGUAGUAAAGCUCUUUUACCCGGGAUGAUAAUGACGGUACCGGGAGAAUAAGCUCCGGCUAACUCCGUG